GGCUGGAGUGCAAUAGUGUGAUCUCAGCUCACUGCAACCUCCGCCUCCUGGGCUCAAGCAAUCCUCUCACCUCAGCCUCCUGAGUAGCUGGGUCUACAGGCGUGCACCACCAUGCCCAGCUAAUUUUUGUAUUUUUUGUAGAGAUGAGGUUUUGCCAUGUUGGCCAGGCUGGUCUCAAACUCCUGAGCUCAAGUAAUCAACCCACUUCGGCCUCCCAAAGUGCUGGAAUUACAGGUGUGAGCCACUGUGCCCGGCCACCUGCCUCCUUUUUUGGGAGGCCGACAGGGUCUCACUCUGUUGGCCAGGCUGGGGGGCAGUGGCGCCAUCAUAACUCACUGUAGCCUCGACCUCCUGGGCUCAGGCGAUCCUCCUGCCUCAGCUUCCCGAGUAGCUGUGUCUCCAGUGGAAUCCUUCGAGGAGGUGGAGGACAGCCUGUGUGUCCCCCAGUAUAACAAGUACAGGGAGGAGAGGGUGAUCCUCUU
rnacentral:lncRNA from 10 species